CGGCCUACGGGGGGCUGCAGUAGGGAAUAUUGGUUAAUGUGCGAAAGCGCGAACCAGCAACGCCGCGUGUGCGAUGAAGGCCUUCGGGUCGUAAAGCACUUUUUGCAGGGAAGAGGAAGGACGGUACCUGCAGAAUAAGUCUCGGCUAACUACGUGCCAGCAGCCGCGGUAAAACGUAGGAGACGAGCGUUAUCCGGAUUUACUGGGCGUAAAGCGCGUGCAGGCGGCAUGGCAAGUUGGAUGUGAAAGCUCACGGCUUAACUGGGAGAGGUCGUUCAAUACUGCCAGGCUUGAGAGUGGUAGAGGGAAGCGGAAUUCCGGGUGUAGUGGUGAAAUGCGUAGAUAUCCGGAGGAACACCAGUGGCGAAAGCGGCUUCCUGGCCCAUUUCUGACGCUCAGACGCGAAAGCUAGGGUAGCAAACGGGAUUAGAUACCCCAGUAGUCCAU
rnacentral:rRNA from 1 species